GUAUAUAUAGCUCAGUGGUAGAGUGCAUACUUAGCAUGCAGGAGGUCAUGGGUUCAAUCCCCAAUAUCUCCA
rnacentral:tRNA from 1 species